UUUUUGUUAUGCAUAACUAGAGCAAAUAAAGCAAUGCUAUAAAAUGGCUUCCGGCAGAAAAUAAUAACCACAGUGGAUAUAAGCUAGUUUUCUAACGUGACUUAAGUAACACUUUAUAAAACCAAAGCUAUACAUUAGUCUCUCCCAUUACCACUUUGUCAAUUUUAGCUAAGUUAGUAGAUAUGAUCAACACUAUAUAUUUAAAGUGGAACGGCAAGCUCAUUUUUUACGUUAUAGUAAUUUAACAAUUUUGUCGAUAUUUUGAGCAAUGGUGUAUUCUGCUGUGGUCGCUACGGCGCAUAUCAUCAAAUAUCGCCUGUCCGGUUUCUCUAUUCGCUAAAUACGGGAAGAUACUGAUAUAGUCUAUAUUGUAUUUCACAAGUAAAAUAGUUUCUGAGUUAGCCAUCAUGUCGUCAGUUAAACUGAUCCUCGUUCUUCAGUUCACUUACAAGCUCUUUUAUUGAUAAAUCGUUAUAAUACCGCCCCCAUAAUAUAAUAUCUGUAAUUCUCUUUAAUUUUGCCCUAUUUGUAAUA